rnacentral:lncRNA from 1 species
UGGUGCUUCUCUUUUAAUACACAUGUGCUGCUGUGCAGUUUGUGUGUUCUGAGAAGAUGAGUUCUAGGAAGAAGACACCUUUCCAGAAACACCGAGAAGAGGAAGAGGCGAAGAAGAAAGUAUGAACCCUUACUGUCUUUGGUUUACUUUGUGGAAUGAAGUUUCUUGGUCUUGUGACAUACAUGUAUUUUGUUGGCAGAGAGCAGAAAACGAAACAGCUCGUCUGUACCAAGAGUUUGUAGAGUCAUUUCAAGCGGAUGAUACACCUGGUUCUAAAGCUU